ACCCCCUCCUGCAGGGAAUGACCCUGAGCCAGUGUCCAUCCACAACACAAUUGCCCCCCUCCUCCAGCUGGGCAGCCCGCACCUGGUGUCCACUCAUGACACAGACACCUCCUCCUCCAGAAUGGCUGCCCAAAACCCCUGAUCUGCCCAGAGCCUACUGUCUCCCAGAGAGGAAUUUACACUGCUGGGGACAGGCAGGACACAAACCCAAGUGGCAGCAGUGCUACCCUGGCCCUUGCCCAUGGUCCCCUGAGGAUGACAACAAGGCCUCUCUGAUGCUGUCCUUCUUCACACCCGCUCCGCCCAGUGGUCUGUUAACUUCCACAGAUAAACACGCUGCACCCCAUCCCAGCUCUCCCAGUCCCAGUGCCCAAUUCAAACUGCCCUUCCCAACUGCCCACAUUCGAACAUCCCUAUUCCCAACUGUCACCUCCCCAAAACCCCAUUCAAAAUGUCCUCCACAACAACUGCCAGUCAGACCAUCUCUCCCCACAACCAAAAAACCGUCACAGUCCCAGCUGCCCUAAAUCAGCCCUAAAUCCCAUCUGUUGCUCCCAGCCAUCAUCCCCUUUUCAAAUUCCCUUCAAAAGGACCCUUUCUUACCAGCCAUUUCUCAUUCUCCCUCCCAGGUGCCCCAACUCCCCCGAUGGCUCAGCUCCCUCUCUCCAGUUCAAACUCACUCCUGGUCUGCACUAAAAAGUUAAGUCGGCCCAGCUGUGUCACUCAGGGGUGUGAAAAAUCCACAGCCCUGAGCAAUGUACCUAUACCCACCUAACCCCUGCUGUGGACAUGCUAGGCUGAUGGAAGAAUUCUGUAGACCUAGCUACCGCCUCUUGGAGUGGUGGAUGACCUAUGCUGAUGGGAGAACCCCUCUCAUGGGUGUAGGUAGACUACAGCAGAACAGCUGUAGCUUUCCACGUGUAGACAAGCCCUUACUCUCCUGUGACCUGUCACUCCCAACUAAUGCAGAUCCACAGGUCCCAAUUUAAACUGCUACUUCCUGACUAGCUGUUCACACAUGCCUAGUUCCAACUGCCCUUCCCAACUGUCCCAGUUCAAACACCCCACCCCAUCCCAUCCCACUCCAAACUGCCACCACGACCAGGCCCGGUUCCAACUGUCCCUACCAGCGUUCCUUCUGGUCUGUGAGUGUAGAAUGACAGCGCUCCAGUUCAAACCCUGUGGUCGCAGCAGCAUUGGCAAACAGGGUCAUAGGCUGGCAUGGUAGCACCAGGGCAGAAUAUUGGGAGCCGGUGCGGUGCUCGACCUUGGGUACUUUCUCUCGUAGUGGAUGCAGAGGGCCUGGCACUAGCUUCCCCAGCAGCAGGAGAGGGAGUCUACUCAAGAAUGGUGCUUCGAGCAGCACUGCCUGGACUCCAUGAAGGAGUGCAGGGUGCAUCGAUGUGCAGCUUCUCAGACAUCCAGCCACUGCCCACGUGGAAUUGCUACAGGUCCCCCUGGAACCUUGGAUCUCAUUGCCCAAAACCAUCCAGUUGCAAAUUUGAAACCUUUGUCUUGCCAGGGAACCGAAGGCAGGAGCCCCUGUGCUAGCUCGUUGGUGUGAACUGAACUUGGCAAUUGCAUUGAGGCUGAGGGUGGGGCAAAACAGCAGAUUUUUCAAGAACUGUCCAAACUACGGAUUUGGGUGAAAGGCUCCACUCCACUCUUCAUUAACGAAUCUGUGACUUGUGGUCUCAGUAGAUCAUAAAAUACAAACAAACAUGAAGCGAACAACUAGAAGCGAACGAUGCUUUCUGAGCUGCUCAUCUGCAUGCCAACACCCAGAAAGCUUUUCUACUUUUGUGGUUUCCCUGUGGUAGUGAUGGCUGAGCUGUGAGCCCCAGUUUCUUUGCUAUUAUACUCAGGCCUAGAUCCUUCAAAUCUGUAUGUGACACAACCGGAAAUACAAGAGUUGGUGUGGGUAGAGAACGGGUGUUUGAGGAGACGUGGGCAUAAACAGGAUCCAGUCUAGGCUAUCAGGGUGGUUAAGUAAGCUCUACACUCCCUUCUCAGGCCUCACUCUUACUACAGGGCAGAAUCUCAUUAAUGCCAGACUGGAGUCCCCUAUGCCCCCUGUCUGGCUCAGCACUUAAACUUGUAGCACCUCCGUACUGGGCAAUGUGGAAAUAAUCCACUGUACUCUUAAAGAAACUGAUCUGUCCUAAAGGGAAAGUCAGCUCCAGCUUGAUGCCUCAAGAGAAACCCCCGAUUGUGAGAACUCUUCAGCAGUGGAGCUCCGCCAACGGCCGCAACAGGCCUGCGGCUCAACAGCGAUUUAUGUGCCUCAAAGAAACAGCUUCACGCAACAAGAGUUUACAAAACCCAAAAUAGUUUUAUUCACUUUUUCAGAUUUUUGCCUCGAUGAGACAUUUUGCGAACAUGCUAAGGCUACAAAAUGUCCAAGUUGACAAAGACAUGCAAUGCUGACCAUUCAAUAAGUCACAGCUAUAACUGGAGUGACCGCGCCCACCGGGGCCCCACAGAACAGGGAUGGUGUACAGUAAUCAUGGUAACGUACCACAGAGGACUCAGCAACCUGAGGUAGGUCUCUUUACAGUAAGAAAAGAGCUUCCUUCCAGUGUCACACCCUGAUCAGCAGGAACCUGUUCAAAGCUGCAGAAGACUUCAGGGUGUUGUUAAGGUAAUAAGUGUGCAAGACCAAAACAGGAAACGCUGAUGUAUUUUAAGCUUAGUGUAAGUGAACAGCACGAAGGGUGAGUGUUAUGUAUGCCAAUAAGAACCAACCUCAACCUGUAAAGAGCAUUAGCAGCCUCAAGAUAAAGGAUUCAGCUGGAGCAGCUCAGGAAAGAAAAGACUUUACUGCCAGCAACCCAGGGUUUGGAUUUGAACGUCAGAGGGCGAUUGUUUUACUGCAGGUUGUUCUAUGAACAUUUAGAUUCUGGUCACGAGUUAGAUCAGCGAAGCAGGAGUUUGAUUAUUUUAAUGGAAACAAAACCCGAACUCCAUU